ensembl:lncRNA
GUGGUGGCAGCAAAAUAUUAGUGACCUCUCUGUUACAUUACAAUAUGUUGAAAAUUAUGUUGGUAGGGACAUCUGAUUUAACCUGAUGAAUGCCAACAUCUCUGGCCUUUUCAUGGGCCGCGUGUGUUGGCGAAGUUGGCAUGUAUAACUAGCUUUUGUUGGAUGACGACCUGACGUGUUGGUAUAAUUUAUCCACAGAAUCAAGACGUUGGUUUGGUCUGAUGGACUUCUCUGCUGGUAAGGAGUUACGACUUGGUUACCACAAGUGUUCGAUGUGGGCAGACAAUGCAGAUGGCCUAUGAUGAGUACAUGUAUAAGAGUAGUGGACAGGAGUGAUUUCUGAGAACGUUUUAAUCUGAGGUUUUUUCUUCUUAAGCGUGUGACUUGGAUCUCCCUGCACUUGAGUAAUGCUUCUUUUCUUCUUUUUGGUAGCAUCAGCCAACAGUUGGACAUGGGUCAUCCACAUAAAGGUGCAAAAUUUGCAUAAGCUGUCACACUGGUAAGCAAUCUCUCUUUGAAUGUGUGUGCAUUUGACUUGCUGUGAUAUGAUGAUUUUUUUUGUUUAAAAACAUUGGGAAUCUCUCUGAAUAAGAGUGAAGGAGAACUUUUUUCUGAUGCGGCAUCAAAAUGUCUGGCUUGUAUGUCCUUGAAUGUUCCACUCUAAAAAUCGUCUACAUCUGUC